rnacentral:lncRNA from 1 species
CACGUUGUGCUAAAGAGAAUUUAUUCGUCUUCAAUCAGGAGAGUAUUACAUUUUAAUUAUUUUUAAUUGAUUAAUUUUGAUUUUAUUGAAUUCAUAUACUUUUGUUAAUUCUAUUUAUUUAUUUUUUUUCCUUAUGUUGAACAUGAUACAGGUUGUGAAGAUGAAAUCCGAAAUUGAAGAAAGAACUCCUACAAACUGGUUCAUAAUAUUCAUCACGCAGUCCAAGUUCUUCUAAAACAACGGUUUUUAUUUCAAUAUUUUUUCAGCCUUGAUUGCAUAAACCUUCACCAUAAUGCAUGACCCAACUUUACGUUUUAUGAAUUUUAGAUUCUGCAUCAAUUGUUUAUGCAUUAUAUCCAUAAUAUUGCUAUUAUGUGAAUUGAAUAUGUGUGAAUAAGGAAGAAAAAGAAAAGAGAAAAGGAUGUUGAAACCCUAGAAUUCGUAUUGGGCUUGAAAACCUAGUCUGUCUUUGACUAGGCCUUGAUUUCAUAUGGCUAGCAUGCAGCUUGCGCUAAGCCACUAACCUACUAAUUACGUCGUCGGGCUAAGCCAAGCCGGCUCCAAUUUGGGCCUAGAAGCAUGACAAUUCUGUUUUUGUUUGGCCCGACCCAAAAACCCAGCACUUGAGUACCUAACUCGCGCCAGAGCUGCGCCGAGCCAUCGUGCCGAAGUCGUUGACCGUUCCAAACCCUAAUGUGCAAAAGCAACGUGCUCACUGAGAUUGGGUCGCUGAUCGGAUCAUUUUUAUAUAUAUUUUUACUUCAAAUUCACUCGUCUUUUCUUAGUUAGUUCCUUAUAUUUUUGAGCUAUUUACGUUAUUUUUGUGUUUAUAGGAUUUGUUAUGCAAAGAAAAUAAAAAUGGCACAAGUGAAAUUUUAUGUAAUAAAUUCGUCAAAACUAACAUCUCAUUCAUCCUUUCGACUAAGCAAAUAAAAAAAUAAUAAUAAUAAAUAUAUAAGCAGCAUGAUGUGGCAAGGCCACAAAUCAAAUGAACCGGAUAUUUAAUAUGGAAAAGGGUUAGUGAAAUGGGAUUAGUAGUGGAAUGGUGGGAACUUGCUUUUUGUUAAAAGCAACGGACAAGAGUUGUUGUGGGGGUUGAAAGGAGAAAAGAAAGCAGCAUUUAAAGAGUAUAAAAAAUGAUCAUUCUGCAUGUGCUUAUUGGAGACUUCUGUUAUUCUAACAUAUAUUGAAAUUUCUUGUAGGGUCAAUUUAAAAUAAUUCAAAUGUCUGGGACGUUUAUGAUACAUGACAAGAAAGUGCAGCAAGUGAGAGGGCAUGAGAAAAACAGAAGCACGGAAACAGAACAAGCGUCGGUGGAAGGGAGGAUAGCUGCCUUUGGCAGCUCAGAGGAAAGAAGGAUAAAAUAAGAGGGAUGGCAGACAAGGAAAGGUGGAUGGGAGACUGGCGGAAAAAAAAGAUAAAAUAUAAGAAGGGGGGAGAGAAAGGCUGCCAGAAAGGGCAGCAUAAAGGAGGGCUGUUUGGGACGUGCGAAGGGGAGUGAGCCUCGGGAGGAGAACAGAAGUCAGAGGGGUCUUGGAGCGGGAAAAAGGGGCUGCCCUUUGGGCAGCUCGCAGAGAGGAGGCGCUGCCUUUGGCAGCGAGAGAGGUCAGAAAAGAAGCUGAAAAAAAAGAGAAAAAAAAAAUAAAGAGCUGCCUUGGGCAGCUGGAGUGAGACGGGAGUGAGAGACCAGGAGAAGUCAGAGGGAAAGCAGGCGCAGAGAUGGAGGAAGCCAACGCAGUCUGGGAAAUAACAAAGCUGACUUGGCAGCGCAGAAAUAAAAAAAACAGCGCAAGCUGCACAGGGAGAGCACGGACAGAAACAGAAGCAGCAAGCUUCUCCUCGAUUAAAACUUUCCAAACUUCUAUUUUAUUUCUGUUUUAAUAAUGUGUAACUAAAUUUAUUUUGGCUAGAGGUUAAUUCAAAGCCAUGAAUAUAUUUGUAAUAUGAAUUGAUUACCUUCAGUUGUGAUUUCUGAGUUGUGAUUUAAUUUGCUUAACUGCUUGAUUGAUAACUUAUUUUUGUAUGUCGAUUAAGGAUGCAUACUUAAUUUACAUGCAUGAAUUUGAUGCUAGAAUAUAAGUGAAUUUCACCUAAUCGUUAUGAACUUAUAUUCACAAGUAGUGAAGGUUGCUAGUCACAAUCACGUUAAGUAAAUUCUUGGCAUAAGUUUCAUGCAAAUCAUAGUAACGAGUGUCUCGUCAAUGCUUAUGUUUUUCAUAGAACUUAAUGAUUCUUGC